rnacentral:misc_RNA from 1 species
GAGGAAAGUCCGGGCUCGGAAGGGCUCGAUGCCGGAUAACGUCCGGGGCAGAGGAGUGUUUGCGGUUCCGCAUCUGCGGGCCAUAAAUCCUUCUUUGUACAGAAAGUGCCACAGAAAACAUACCGCCGCCUAACGCGGUAAGGGUGAAAAGGUGAGGUAAGAGCUCACCGCAUUUCCAGUAAUGGGAAUGGCAUGGCAAACCUCAUCGCGAGCAAGGUCAAACAGCGAUGGAUUGCCCGUCC